rnacentral:rRNA from 1 species
AACUGCUGGACAAGGAGUGUUCUGUUGAGCUCAUUUUCACACGAUGAACAACUGGCUUAGAACUGAUUCGGGCAAGGGGAAUCCGACUGUUUAAUUGAAACAAAGCAUUGCGAGGGCCUCAAAGGGUGGUGCCACAAUGUGAUUUCUGCCCAGUGCUCUGAAUGUCAAAGUGAGGAAAUUCAACUAAGCGCGGGUAAACGGCGGGAGUAACUAUGACUCUCUUAAGGUAGCCAAAUGCCUCGUCAUCCAAUUAGUGACGCGCAUGAAUGGAUUAAUGAGAUUCCCACUGUCCCCAUCUACUGUCCAGCGAAACCACAGCCAAGGGAACGGGCUUGGGUAAAUCAGCGGGGAAAGAAGACCCUGUUGAGCUUGACUCUAAUCUGACUUUGUGAAAUGACUUAGGAGGUGUAGGAUAUGUGGGAGCUCUGGUGAUCUUGAAAUACCACUACUCUUAAUGUCACUUUACUUACUCUAUCAGACUGUGGCCUGCUUCCCAGCAGGUUUUUGUUUCAAGGCAUCUCAUCUGACUUGUUGACUUGCGUAGAGGACAUAAUCAGGUGGGCAGUUUGGCUGGGGCGGCACAUCUGUUAAAGGAUAACGCAGGUGUCCCAAGGUAAGCUCAAGGAGAACAGAAAUCUCAUGUGGAUCAGAAGGGGAAAUGCUUGCUUGAUUUUGCUUUUCAGUGUGAAGACAAACUGUGCAAACAUGGCCUAUCGAUCCUUUGG